CUGUUUGGCAGUCCCGGGUCUAACAGCGGAGCACCCGCGCAGCAGAGAGGAAACAGACUGAUGUCAUUCACCUCCAUCCCUCGUUCACCUCCAGUGUUUGUCGGAAGCAGAUGUCCAGUGAGAUCACAAGGGAUCCUGCUCCUCAUCCCGUCCUCACAGAUUCUCAUCUACACACGUUCAGCCAGCAGGUUCACCAGCACCAGGGCUCAGACUCCAUCAGAGGGCAUCUUUCGGCCUUCAUCAGAACAGUUUGCUCAAGUUGUCAUGGAAAUGGAUACAAGAUCAAGAUGACGAUAUCCAAAAGGCUUUAUAGUGCAUCCAUUUUUUCACAAUCCAUAAAGGAACAUUUAUUCCUUCUUUAUCUAAAGAAUCCAAAAUCACAGAAGAUUUCAGGGUUACAUGCCAGAGCUGACUUCAACACAACUAUCCCCAUGACAACCAAGAAAACUCCAUCUGCUGAUGAAAACUGGGAGAUAAGAAGCACCUGAAAGAGACAAGUUGUAUUUUUAUUAGCCAAGCAAUCAAAUGAGACGCUGCAGGUUAGUGGCAUUAAAGCCUGUAAAAUGAUCUUCAUAUUAAUGUGGGGAAGGAAAGGAUUUGUCAGAACUCAAAGAGAAAGGAGCUCCUGACAGACAAAAAAAAGAUGAAAAAGUGUGACUAAACAAAAGAUCACAGCAGCAGCAGUGGAGGGACUAUUAGCAGGCAAAGGAUCAGGGAGAUUGGGGCAGACAGAGAAAAACAGAAAUUCCAAAAUCAAAAACCUGGUCUUUUCAGAUUUUACAAAUGUUUGAGCUCUGGACAGAAUGAGACUAUUUUUGACAAAGCCGUUUUUGAUCUUUGAAGUGUAGCGUUCACACGUCUUACAGUUCAGCUGAUGUGUGAGGGCUUUUAAUUCAGACUGUAUGACAGCUUAACACCCCCAACCCCCAGCAAAACACACACACACACA